AAUCUUGAAGUCCUUGUAUCUGAGGCAGAGGAAGAUGAUGUUGAAGGGGAUUCCUGAUGAGAUUACCCACCUUCUUGAGCACAAAAGAAGCUCAUUCAGCUGUAUCACGAGAAUCAGCAGACCAGUCAAACUGGGGAUUACAAAAAAAAAAAAAAAAAAAAAAAAAAAAAAAAAAAAAAAAAAAAAAAAAAAAAAAAAAAAAAAAAAAAAAAAAAAAAAAAAAAAAAAAAAAAAAAAAAAAAAAA
rnacentral:lncRNA from 1 species